CAGAUCCUACGGGGGGCAGCAGUGGGGAAUAUUGGGCAAUGGGCGCAAGCCUGGCCCAGCAACGCCGCGUGAAGGAAGAAGGCUUUCGGGUUGUAAACUUCUUUUCUCAGGGACGAAGAAAGUGACGGUACCUGAGGAAUAAGCCACGGCUAACUACGUGCCAGCAGCCGCGGUAAUACGUAGGUGGCAAGCGUUAUCCGGAUUUACUGGGUGUAAAGGGCGUGUAGGCGGGAAAGCACAUCAGAUGUGAAAACCAUGGGCUCAAACUGUGG
rnacentral:rRNA from 1 species